AACGCUAGCUACAGGCUUAACACAUGCAAGUCGAGGGGCAGCAUGAACAAAGCUUGCUUUGUUCGAUGGCGACCGGCGCACGGGUGAGUAACGCGUAUCCGACCUGCCCAUGACUCGGGCACAGCCGCUCGAAAGAGCGAUUGAUUCCCGAUAUGUCUAUGAAGUANAUUCAUGGAUGAAAGAUUUAUCGGUCAUGGAUGGGGAUGCGUAGGAUUAGGUAGUAGGCGGGGUAACGGCCCACCUAGCCGACGAUCCUUAGGGGUUCUGAGACGAAGGUCCCCCACCACUGGGUACUGAGACACGGACCAGACUCCUACGGGAGGCAGCAGUGAGGAAUAUUGGUCCAAUGGGCGGAAGCCUGAACCAGCCAAGUAGCGUGGAAAGGAUUACUGCCCUACGGGUUUUAAACUUCUUUUAUGCGAGAGUAAUGUGCGCUACGUGUAGCGUAUUGCAAGUAUCGCAUGAAUAAGCAUCGGCUAACUCCGUGCCAGCAGCCGCGGUAAUACGGAGGAUGCGAGCGUUAUCCGGAUUUAUUGGGUUUAAAGGGAGCGUAGGCGGGUCAUUAAGUCAGUCGUCAAAGCCUGUGGCUCAACCNCAGCCCGCGAUUGAUACUGGUGACCUUGAGUGCGGAUGAGGUGGAUGGAAUUCGUGGUGUAGCGGUGAAAUGCUUAGAUAUCACGAAGAACUCCGAUUG
rnacentral:rRNA from 1 species